rnacentral:rRNA from 1 species
AUUGAACGCUGGCGGCAGGCCUAACACAUGCAAGUCGAACGGUAGCACAGAGAGCUUGCUCUCGGGUGACGAGUGGCGGACGGGUGAGUAAUGUCUGGGAAACUGCCCGAUGGAGGGGGAUAACUACUGGAAACGGUAGCUAAUAACGCACAACGUCGCAAAACCAAAGUGGGGGACCUCCGGGCCUCACACCAUCGGAUGUGCCCAGAUGGGAUUAGCUAGUAGGUGGGGUAAUGGCUGACCUAGGCGACGAUCCCUAGCUGGUCUGAGAGGAUGACCAGCCACACUGGAACUGAGACACGGUCCAGACUCCUACGGGAGGCAGCAGUGGGGAAUAUUGCACAAUGGGCGCAAGCCUGAUGCAGCCAUGCCGCGUGUAUGAAGAAGGCCUUCGGGUUGUAAAGUACUUUCAGCGGGGAGGAAGGCGGUGAAGUUAAUAACUUCACCGAUUGACGUUACCCGCAGAAGAAGCACCGGCUAACUCCGUGCCAGCAGCCGCCGCGG